UCUUCAGCUUGUGUUAUGUAAGGUCACUUGUAGUGCAGGGUAAUGGGUUUUUGGUGACUCACAGUUUGUGCACAGUAUGGCCUCAUUUUCUCUUGUUUUACAGGAGAUUUUUCUCUUCCAGAGGACAGUUAUAUUCAGGGACAAAGGGAAAACUGGGGCAAACAAGAUAUUGAAUUCAGAUCUGUUUGCUGAAAUCAUUGGUAAAAUUAAAUGAGUGAUUGCCUGAAAAGCACACAAGAGAGAGAACAUUCACUGUCAGACAGAAAGGACAUUUCCGGCGUAAAGCAGGAAAAAUAUCUAUUUGUUGGCGAGCUAAAUUAUUUGUGGUCUUAAAUGGCACUACACUGCUGUCAGAAGCACUGAUGGGACUUGACAAGAACAGAGCAUGACAUUUUUCUCUUUAGCAUGUCUUUGUCUUCCUUUAUUGAACUGUAUUUGGAUUUCCCUUAUUUCUAUUCCUGCACCUACUAAAGAAUUAAAACUUUGUAAGAGAUUAAAUAUUGUAACACCGUGUGUGAUGGCAGUCAAGAAUUAGUUUUCUCUUAGGUGAACAAAAUGAAAGCAUAGGAACCUGUAAAUUAUGCCCUACCUCCCUUGCCUGCUAUGAAAUUUCUGCCCUCCCUUGAGGCUGUAAAGAUAACACUGCAGAAAGGGCUUUUCAACAUUGACUUUUUUAGAAGCUGUUAUUUGUCUGUAUGAUCUUGCUUAUUAAGCAAUCUUUCACAUAAAAUCACUCAAAACAGAGGGUUCACAUGCAAGUAUACCUGUGGCAGAGAGAAAACACAACUUAGACCAUGGUAUAAAGGUGAUCAUACUGGUUGCAGUCUUGCACAUAAACACACAGUCUGCUACAAGAUGAAACAACUGCAAUCCCACACAGUGUAUUUUGUGGUGCAAAGAGCUUGGUAUUAUUCUGGGCAAUGUUGUUGAAAAGAGCCUUCCUUUCUUAAAUCAAACUGACAGUACUUGCGAGAAGAAUGUGUUGGAGACAGUACUAGGACUAUUCGUGCUGUGAAAAGAUAAGGAAAUUGGGGAAAACUGAAUAACCAGCUGUCAGUAAAAUUUAAGUUCUCUAAAAGAAAAUUCAGUGUCCAGAAUUUCUUCUUUGGUGGGAUCUCUGUGUAAGGGGAAAAAGAAUAUUUAAUAUACUGAAGCAUAAUGAAAACAAAAUUGAUAGCUUUAAAUCCCAUUUUAAUUGCAGUGGAGUUUUGUGAAAAUAUUCACAAAAUGCUUUUAGUUUUUACUUGUAAGAGAUAUGUUAUCUUAAUUGGUACUGUAUUGUUCCAACUGAUGAUUAAAAAAAAAAAAAGAAAAGAAAAAAA